GAUGAACGCUGGCGGCGUGCCUAAUACAAGCAAGUCAAGCGAACGGACGAGAAGCUUGCUUCUCUGAUGUUAGCGGCGGACGGGUGAGUAACACGUGGAUAACCUACCUAUAAGACUGGGAUAACUUCGGGAAACCGGAGCUAAUACCGGAUAAUAUUUUGAACCGCAUGGUUCAAAAGUGAAAGACGGUCUUGCUGUCACUUAUAGAUGGAUCCGCGCUGCAUUAGCUAGUUGGUAAGGUAACGGCUUACCAAGGCAACGAUGCAUAGCCGACCUGAGAGGGCGAUCGGCCACACUGGAACUGAGACACGGUCCAGACUCCUACGGGAGGCAGCAGUAGGGAAUCUUCCGCAAUGGGCGAAAGCCUGACGGAGCAACGCCGCGUGAGUGAUGAAGGUCUUCGGAUCGUAAAACUCUGUUAUUAGGGAAGAACAUAUGUGUAAGUAACUGUGCACAUCUUGACGGUACCUAAUCAGAAAGCCACGGCUAACUACGUGCCAGCAGCCGCGGUAAUACGUAGGUGGCAAGCGUUAUCCGGAAUUAUUGGGCGUAAAGCGCGCGUAGGCGGUUUUUUAAAUCUGAUGUGAAAGCCCACGGCUCAACCGUGGAGGGGUCAUUGGAAACUGGAAAACUUGAGUGCAGAAGAGGAAAAGUGGAAUUCCAUGUGUAGCGGUGAAAUGCGCAGAGAUAUGGAGGAACCCCAGUGGCGAAGGCGACUUUCUGGUCUGUAACUGACGCCGAUGUGCGAAAGCGUGGGGAUCAAACAGGAUUAGAUACCCUGGUAGUCCACGCCGUAAACGAUGAGUGCUAAGUGUUAGGGGGUUUCCGCCCCUUAGUGCUGCAGCUAACGCAUUAAGCACUCCGCCUGGGGAGUACGACCGCAAGGUUGAAACUCAAAGGAAUUGACGGGGACCCGCACAAGCGGUGGAGCAUGUGGUUUAAUUCGAAGCAACGCGAAGAACCUUACCAAAUCUUGACAUCCUUUGACAACUCUAGAGAUAGAGCCUUCCUCUUCGGGGGACAAAGUGACAGGUGGUGCAUGGUUGUCGUCAGCUCGUGUCGUGAGAUGUUGGGUUAAGUCCCGCAACGAGCGCAACCCUUAAGCUUAGUUGCCAUCAUUAAGUUGGGCACUCUAAGUUGACUGCCGGUGACAAACCGGAGGAAGGUGGGGAUGACGUCAAAUCAUCAUGCCCCUUAUGAUUUGGGCUACACACGUGCUACAAUGGACAAUACAAAGGGCAGCGAAACCGCGAGGUCAAGCAAAUCCCAUAAAGUUGUUCUCAGUUCGGAUUGUAGUCUGCAACUCGACUACAUGAAGCUGGAAUCGCUAGUAAUCGUAGAUCAGCAUGCUACGGUGAAUACGUUCCCGGGUCU
rnacentral:rRNA from 1 species